rnacentral:lncRNA from 1 species
CAAGAGGACCCUGCACUGCCCUGAUCUUCAGAGAAAUAGUAACCGGCCUCCGUAAUCGCUGGCGUAGAUGUUAUGUACACACGGGCUCUCACCCUUCGAUAGGUGCUGAGGAUCUGGAUGGGGUUAUUGCUAGUAUUGCCUCUUUCAUGUGUUUCCUCUUGUACUUUAGGGCAUGGCUGACAGACCACUGAGCAACACUGCUGAGCACCGCGGACGCGAGGUGGGAGCCCCAUCUCACCAGUCUUCCAGCCCCAUCACUUUUAAUCAUCAUCUAAGUCCUAAGAAAAGAGGCAAGUUUUGGAAACUGUCUGAGGAAGAUGUUUCCGCAAAGGCAGGGUCAACAUUUCCUUCUCUCCAUACUGCAGCAAGCCUUUUGGAGAGCGCUGCAGAAAGCAGAAGACUUUCGAUCCCUUCCCCUCCUUCCAGCCGGUAUACGUACACACACACACACACACACCUGUGUGCAACCAAAAUAGAAAGAGUGCUACAGGAAACGGAUCUCACUGCAGUUCUCUAGCAACCCAUCAGAGUGCUAAUUGGAUGAUCUUCACGAUUUCUCUGUGAAGUAGCCCCAACGUCCUCGGCUGAUGUGAGGCUGCAAAGGCCCAGCUGCCACGCGGGCUCGCUCUGCCCCAUCUGCCAAACCCAUCCUGAGCCGCCGGCCUCACUUAGGACGGAUUGAAAGGAAGACAAAUGAAAUCGUGAAGUUACCGCACUGGAGUCGAAGGUGUAUUUACACUCCAUCUUUUUUCCUCUGGGCUGACAGUACAUGUGAAAUUCAGUAUCAGUUGUUUCUUCGGAGUUGAAUAGACAAACUACCUGGAAUUUCUGGUCUCUUCUUGGAUAAGCUUGUAGAGGACAGACUGAAACAUUUUUGCAGAUAUUUUGGGAGUAUUUGUCAGCAAACUGGGAUCGCUUAACAGUUCAUAAGGAGAAAAAAAGGGGGCACAAAUAUUAUAGAAGACACAGCCAAAGACUUAGGUAUACAAAUAAAUAGGAUUUGCUAAGUUCUCUUGGUGAGGCC